AAUCCUCUUCUUAAUGAUUUCUGUUACUAACCUGAAUAUAUGCAUAUAUUGAACAAAAUUCAGUAUUCUAUCAUCAAAAAAUGCAUAUGCAGGCAAUUAUAAUCAAUUCAAGCAAGUUAGAAGUCAAUCCCAUAUGUCCAAUUAUGAUGGAGAAGACAAUUUUAACAACACAAUUUAAAAAACUUAUAAUUGCUUGAUUAUAUUCAUUAUAGUUGUUUAUGAUUCCGAAGAUAAAUAUUGAUUCAUGAUUACUAAAAUAAAUGAACUCACAAAAUUGAAUGACUUGAUUUAAGGAUCAUAGAUGAUUUAGCAUUAUGUCUUCUUCUGACAAUUGCAUCUAUCAAUGGAUUAGAAAAGUUUUUAAAUUUUGGAUUUUUAAGGAUUUCUCAAAACUUAUGCUGUAUGUAAUGUCGCAACUUUGUUCAAUCAAUAAUUAACAAUAAAAGUUUAUUUACUAUGCUUUAACACUUCUGCCACAUUCGUCAGUGUACGAAUUGCAAGAAAGAUUGCUCCUCAGAUCCAUCUGAGUUUGGAGUGUAAUACUGCAAGUGAUACAAGACCUAUAGAAAACUCGAAAAGCUCAAAUUUGAAAAGAAUCCUUAAUUCAUAUUUGGUAAUUAACUAAAAACAGUUACAGUAAUUACCAAGUAGUUAGAAAACUCCAUGCUUUUAUAGCCAGCUAUAGAAAGCUUUUAAAUAAUUAAGAAAUAAAAACCAAUUUUUUUCAUUAAUACCGAACAGUUUAUUAUAGGUUUGAGCUACUAAUAAUGCUCAUGCGCUAUUACAUUACUAUCGAUGAAAUUUCCAAAACAGAGGAAAAGGAAAGAGCAAUCAGACAUGCAAAUUACAUUGGCGGAAAUCUUAUCUUUAAAUUGGAUAUCAUAGGCUUGUAACAAAAUCAGCAUGGAGCUACUAGUAAUGCUCAUAUUCUAUUACAUCACUAUUGAAAGAAAUUUGAAAAACAAGAAAAUGAAAGAGCAAUCAGACGUGCCAAUUGAAUUGGUGGAAACCUUAUCUUUAAAUGUGAUCUCAUAGGCAUGUCAUCUGCUACAAGGGAUUAGUUCCUUCAUUGAAAAGCUUGAUAGAGUUGAGAAUUCAACGAGCAAACCCCAAUUGAAGCUUAAUUUGGGGAAUCCCAACCUGAAAUGGCUACGGUAUCAGUCCUGAUGAAGCGACUGCUGCAGCCUUUUAUGGGCAUAUCAGAAAUUUACAACCCCGCUCUGUCCACCUUUCUUCUUCUUCUUAUCCUCUUGCUCACACUUGUACAGUUGCUGAAAAUCACCAGACGUAGUAGUAACCAUCUCAACUUACCCCCAUCUCCACCAAAGCUCCCCAUUCUCGGCAACCUUCACCAGCUUCUGGGAACUCUCCCUCACGCUCUCUCAAAGCUCUUUCGGAGCGGUACGGCCCUUUGAUGUUCGUUUACUUUGGCAAUUCUCCAACCCUUGUGGUUUCAUCGGCUGAGUUGGCUUGUGAAAUGUUUAAACUUCAUGAUAUUGUGAUCUCGAACCGGCCCAAAACCACACCUGCUAACAUCCUCCUAUAUGAAUGCCAAGGUAUCGGGUUCUCUAAUUACGGCGAGUACUGGAGACAAGUUCGGAAGAUUUGUGUUCUUCAACUCUUGAGUGCGAGAAGAGUGCAAUCAUUUCAGCAUGUUAGAGAUGAUGAAGUUUCAAGUUUGAUCACUAAAAUUCGCCUCUCAUGUUUUAAUAAAGGAGGUCCUCUUAAUUUAUCAGAGAUGCUACUUACUGCUUCCAGCAAUAUAGUUUCCCUCUGCGUUCUUGGGAGGAAAGCUGAUGCAGAAGAAGAAAAUACUGGUCAGAGCAAUAAGUUUGGUGAGUUAUCAAGAAGGCUGGAAGAGCAGCUUGCUGCCUUUUGUGUAGGAGAUACGUUUCCAUCUUUGGGGUGGUUAGACGUUCUCUCGGGACUCAUUGGUCGUCUCAACGCAACUGCUAGAGCAAUAGACGCUUUGCUUGAUCGGGUGAUUGAAGAGCACACGAACAGGGCAUCAUCAGGAAGUGAUGAUGAUGAUGACCAAUCUAAUAAAAAAGACUUCGUGGCUAUACUCCUCCAACUUCGAAAGGAUGGCAUCCUUGGAGCAGAGCUCUCUCAGGACAAUCUUAAAGCACUUACCCUGGUCUAACCUUCCUCUUGACUAGCUAGUAUUAAGUAUUAUAAUUAUUAGCUCUCUCUAUAGAUAUUUUACAUCUUUUACACACUUCACGCACGCAAAAGCGCACCCUUGCAUAUACACAUACGUGCAGAUCAAUACUAAUGGUUUUUCAUGUUUCACAUUCUCAGGACAUGUUUUUAGCAGGAACUGAUACUACUGCAACAACACUAGAGUGGGCAAUGGCCGAGCUAGUGAAAAAUCCAACUAGCAUGAAAAGAGCUCGAGAAGAGGUUAGAAGUGUGGCAAAAGGGAAAUUAAAUAUAGACAUGAAAGACAUUGAGAAGAUGGACUAUUUGAAAUGUGUGGUCAAAGAAACUCUGAGGUUACAUCCACCAGUUCCUCUCUUGAUUCCCCGAGAAAUAGCACAGAGGGUCAAAUGGAGAGGCUAUGAUAUUCCUGCAAAAGCUAGAGUGAUUGUAAAUGCAUGGGCAAUUCAAAUAGAUCCCCAGGUUUGGGACAGGUCAGAAGAUUUCUUGCCAGACAGGUUUUUCUCUAACCCGGUGGAUUGUAAAGGCCAAGACUUCCAAUUUAUCCCCUUUGGUGCUGGAAGAAGAGGAUGUCCCGGGAUAUCAUUUGCGUUCGCCACAAUUGAGUAUGUGAUUGCCAACCUUCUGUACUGGUUUGAUUUGAAUUUGCCUCUUGGUGAAGUUGAGGAGAAUUUGGAUAUGUUUGAAGUUAAUGGGCUAGUGGUUCAUAAGAAAUUACCUCUUCAUCUUGUGCCAACACUCUACUCCCCUUACUCUUAAUCUUGAUAUGUGGAGAAAAAUAUUCAUGAUAGUUAUGUUCUAAUCAUGAUUAUCCUCUUUUAAUUUCCCUCGUGAAAAAUUGUACCAGCGUUGUCUAUUUUCUUCUAUGUUUAUGGCUACCUCAAUGAGCAAGUUAUUAUCAAUUUUAUCACCUGUCUAUAUCAUAUUGGUCCUCUGUUUGAUCUUUCUAUAUAUUCCAUCAAUCGGUUGAGAUUUAGGGAAGUACAAAAAGUUAACAAUUACUAAUGGUGCUAGUAGCCGUGGCUGCAAAAUAUCAUAUCCAUCGAGUUGAUGGGAGAUUAAUUACAACUAAUCGGGAACAAAUAAUUAUGAAGCUGAUAGCAUGAAUAUAUAUAUUAUGAUUGACAUUUUGACUGCAACGGCGAAUAUACAUAAUAAUAGCACCAAUCGUGUCGAUGGGAGAUGUUUUGUUAAAAUUAUUUUUUAAUUCUUAUUUUAUAUUCUUGUGGCUUGAAAGCGACUAUGUCGAUCAUUUAUUUAUUUUCUAGUUCUUAUUUUAUAGACACAUAUUGUUAUUUAAAAAUUCCAUAAUUUCGCUCUGGAAAGGUAAGAGAGCAAAAUUUAGUUUAUAGAGUAACACCCAGGUCUAUAACAAUAAACCCAUAAGAAGGAAGCUAAGCAUGCAAGACCAAACUCAAAUGAGUAGGCCUCAUCUAAGAUCCUUGUAAGUGGGUUAUCUUACAUAGAUGAGUCAUGUUAGGAAAUUAAUUGAUGAAAUAAGACCACAACUAAAAUAAAAUUGAAAAAAAUUAAUUAAAAAAAGAGUUGAAAAGUCAAAUUGGAUCACAUCAUUUGAAUUCAAAUUAGAGGCGGUGGAGAACUUUGACAAGCAAUUGAAAGUGGCCAAAACAUAGCUCUUAUCCUAAUAUUUUGGCUCACUACCCAGAAUGAAUUGGGUAGAUCAGCAGUUCUCAACAUAUCUCUUAUCCUUUCUGUAAGAGUCCUAUUCAUUCACUCUGUCACUCCAUUUUGUUGAGGAGUGUAUGCUACCAUGAACUGCCUCUGAAUACCUUCUUACUUACAAAAAAUAAGAAACUCGUUGUUUAUAUACUCUUCACUGUCUCGUCCUCAAGCACUUGAUUCUUUUUUCAUAUUCAAGUUCAACCCGCGCUUUGUAUUCCUUGAACACUAGAAACACAUUUGACUUUUUCUUGGUUAGAUACACCCAACAUAUCCUGGAAUAAUUAUCAAUGAAAGUCACGAUGUAUUUUGCACCUCCAAUGGAUAUGUCUGGUGAUUCCCAAACAUCAAAGUGAAUUAAGUUUAGAAUGUAUUUACUUCUAGCAACAAAUCUACUGAACUUUAAUCUAUGCUGCUUACUUGUAACAUAAUGCACGUAAAAUUAUAAGUUACCGAUUUGAAUCCUAGAGGCAAUUUUCGCUCAGAGAGAAUCUUCAAACUUUGCUCCGAGAUGUGGCUAAGUUUGAGAUGUCACAUCAUCGUUGACUCUUCUCUGUUUGAUGCAACACACACAUUAGCUUCCUGUAGUGUUUGUCCUUUAAGUAUGAAUAGAUUAGCACUGAUCUUUCUGUCUUCAUCAAUACAAGCGCGCCUUUUAAUAAUUUUCAUAAUUCCAUUUUCAACAUGAGUUUUGCACCCAUGACUAUCUAUUUGUCCCAAAAAUAAUAGAUUUUUCUUCAGGCCUUUCACAUGUCGUACCUCCUCAAUUGUACGAAUUGUACUAUCAAAUAUUUUUAUUUUGAUUGUACCAAUACUAGCGAUCUCCAAGGCAUGAUCAUCAUUCAUAUAUACAAAUCCUCCUGAGAUCCUCAAUUGUGCGAAUUGUACCAUCCAACAUUUUUAUUUUGACUGUACCAAUACUAGCGAUCUCCAAGGCAUGAUCAUCACUCAUAUAUGCAGAUCCUCCUGAGAUACGUUCACGUGUGAAACCAUUCUCUCCAAGAGGUCAUGUGCCAGGUAGCUCCUUAGUCUAUAAGCCAGACGUCAUAUAGUCGUUUUCUGCCUUCUGAAACAGUUGUUGCCUCGUUGUAGAGAAUUUCACCAUCAUCUGACUUGCUACACACCCAUGAGCAUUUGAUGACUCAUGUUUUUUGCUCUCUUUUCUCUUCUGGUUGUUCCAACACUCUUUCUUGACGAUACCAUUGGUAAGAAAUUGAGUUUCAUCCUAAGAUCACUCCAAACAAUUUGUCAAGCAACAAAUUAACAAGAAAACUUAAAUGGAGAAUACACCAAUCACACAACACAAGAUUUACGUGGAAAACUCCAAAUCUGAAAAAAAAAACACAGUCAUUGUCAAGAGACAACCAGAGCAAAAAUAUUUACUAGAUGAAAAAUUAUUACAACCACACUCUCAGAAAUAAUUUUCUCUCACCUAAACCCCAAAUAUAUAAUCUCGAGAAAUAUUCCUUAACAAAGUAAACCCAUAAUACCCAUAUUGACGAGCUAAAUGCUCCUUCAAUCUAACUAUAUGCUUAAGAAUAUUUCUCUCUCUCAAUUUCUCACCAAAACUUAGAUCGCUUCUCUAGGAUUUGGGAUGCCAAGCUCUCAAAUAAGAACUUCAUUUUAUAGACAAAAUUUUUCCUAAAAUCAAGCCAAUUUUUCAACAUUCAAUAGCCACCAUUUCAAUAGUUUUGACCACUUCCAAUUGCUUGCCAAAGUUCUCGGCCACCUCCAAUUUGAAUUCAAAUGAUGUGUUCCAAUUUGACUUUUCAACUCUUUUUUUUUUUAAUCAAUUUUCAAUAAUCUAAGAGUCUUGUAAGAAUAAUCAGAGAGCUUGAGUGAUUUUCAAAGCUUAAAAUUAUAAAGCGCUUGUGAGUCCAGUGAGUGAGAGAUUUGGUGUAUUAGGAUUUUGGGUAGUGAGCCAAAAUAUUACAAUACUUGUAAUCCUCAUAUCUCUAGUAAAAUAAUUUCCUUCUGUCUUCGCCUGUAGGCGUAAGGCUAAAAAUCGAACCACGUAAUUUCCUAGUGUCCUCUUUCUGAUUGUUCUUUAUUUUUCUUCUAAUUUUAUUUUAGUUGUGGUCCUGCUUCACCCAUCAAUUUUCUAACAUUGGUAUCAGAGGUACAGGGUUUUUUUUGGAGCCGAUGGUACUGUUCACGUAAAAAUACUAUUCACAUAUACGGUUACUGUUCACGUGAAACGACGGGAGCCGAUCCUAGCAAAGUUAGUUUGUGGUGAAAAGUGAUGGUAGCGAAAUACGAAAUUAAGAAAUUCAAUAGAAAUAAAUUUUCAUUGUGGAAAAUGAAGAUAAAAGUUGUAUUGCGGAAAAAUAAUUGUUUGGUAACAAUUGGAGAAAGGCCCAUGGAAAUAACUGAUGACAAGUGGAACGAUAUAGAUGGAAAUGUCAUUGUUGAUCUACAGUAGGCACUUGCAGAUGGGAUGUUACCCAGUGUGGAGGAGAAAAAGACAACAAAAGAAAUAUGAGAUACUACACAAAAUUGUACAAGGCCAUGUCUUCUUAAAUAUGAGACUUUAUACUCUUCGAAUGACGAAAUCUACAUCAGUGACCCACCACAUCAACACCUUGAAAACUCUAUUUUCACAACUCAUAAUAUUGGGUCAUAAUAUAGAGGAAAAUGAACGUGCAGAGCUUCUACUUCAAAAUUUACCAGAUUCGUAUGAUCAACUCAUCAUCAACCUGACGAACAACAAUCCAAUAGACAGUCUAGUUUUCGACGAUAUUACAGCUUCCGUAUUAAAUGAAGAGAGCAGUCGCAACAAGUAAAAACACUAUUAGUAAUGAGAGGCAGAUCAACAUAACGUGGCCCCAGUGGGAGUCACAAUCAUGGUAGAUCAAAGUCCAAAAGUAAAAAGAAUAUUAAAUACUAUAAUUAUGGUAAGAAAUGACAUGUCAAGAAAGAGUAUUAGAACAACCAUAAGAGAAGAGAAGGUAAAGAUCAUGUGUCAUCAAAUGCUCAAGGUGUGUAGCAAGUACCUCGGAUGAUGGCAAAAUUCUCUAUAGCGAGGCAACAACUGUUUCAGAAGGUAGAAAAUGGCUAUCUGAUGUUUGGUUCAUAAACUCAAGAGCUAUCUAGCACAUGACCUCUCGGAGAAAAUAAUUGAACCUAUCUAAGGAGAAUCUGUAUAUAUGGGUGAUGAUCAUGCCUUAGAGAUUGCUAGUAUUGGUACAAUCAAAAUAAAAAUAUUUAAUGGUACAUGUCGCACAAUUGAAGAGGUACGACAUGUCAAAGGCUUGAUGAAGAAUCUAUUAUCUUAUAGACAAAUGGAUAGUCAUAAGUACAAAACUCAUGUGGAGAAUAGAAUUAUGAAAAUUGUUAAAGGCGCGCUUGUAUUGAUGAAGACAAAAAAGAUCGGUGCUAUUCAUUCAUGCUUAAAGGACAAACACUAUAGGAAGUUAAUGCGUGUGUUGCAUCAAAUAGAGAAGAGUCAACGAUGAUGUGGCAUCUCAAACUUGGCCACAUCUCGGAGCAAAGUUUGAAGAUUCUCUUUGAGCGAAAAUUGCUUCCAUGGCUCAAAUCGGUAACUUACCAUUUUGCGAGCAUUGUGUUACAAGUAAGCAGCAUAGAUUAAAGUUCAAUAUAUCUAUUGCUAAAAAUAAAUACAUUCUAGACUUAGUUCACUCUGAUGUUUGGGAAUCACCAUACAUAUCCAUGGGAGGUGCAAAAUACAUGGUGACUUUCAUUUAUGAUUAUUCCAGGAGAUGUUGGGUGUAUCCAAUCAAGAAAACGUUAGAUGUGUUUCUAGUAUUCAAGGAAUACAAAGCGCGAGUUGAACUUGAAUAAAAAAAAGAUCAAGUGCUUGAGGACAGAUAACGAUGGAGAGUAUACAGACGGCGAGUUUCUUACUUUCUGUAAGCAAGAAUGUAUUUAGAGGCAGUUCAUGGUAGCAUACACUCCUCAACAAAAUAGAGUGACAGAGUGGAUGAACAGGACUCUUACAGAAAGGAUAAGAGUUAUGUUGAAGAUUGUUGAUCUACCCAAUUCAUUCUGGGUAAAAGCAGCCAAAACUCAUAUUAUGUAAUAAAUCGGUUGCCAUCCAUAACAAUUUCGGUUGAAGACUCUGAUGGAGAUGUGGAUUGAAACGCCAAUAGAAUACUCUCGCCUACAUGCAAUCGAAUUUCCUGUGUAAGUAAUGUACAAUUCCCAAGAAAGAGCAAAGCUGGAUUUAAAAUCUAGAAAAUGUAUUUUUUUUAGAUAUGUUGAUAGAGUAAAAUGAUAUCGUUUGUGGGAUCCCGCUGCCCGCCAGAUUGUCAUCAGCAGAAAUGUUAUCUUUGUAGAAGAUCAACUGCAAAGAAGAGAUGAGGAUGAUAGCACUGUAAAAGAAAAGUAAGAGACUGUAUCAGUAUAUGUGAAAAAUAAUUUGGAAAAAGAAGAUUCAGAUUUUUCUAAAGUAACACCAGAGCACGAGGAACAAGAACCAAUCGAGUCCGAGACUCUAGAAGUUUGUUGAUCAACUCGUGAGAGACGACCGCCAGCGUGGCACUCGGAGUAUGUCACACAAAUCAAAGAGUAUGUCACAGAGAUCAAUGUUGCAUACUGUCUUCUAAUAGAGGAUGGAGAGCCAUUAAUUUUUCAUGGAACUUUAAAUAGCUCAAAUAUUACGUUGUGGAUGAUAGCUAUGAAGGAAGAAAUUGAAACUCUACAUAAGAAUAAGACUUGAAAACUUGUACCACUACCAUAUAGAAGAAAAAUUGUUAGAAACAAAUGGAUUUACAAGAUCAAAUGUGAUAACAAUGAUUAAGUGGAACAAUAUUGUGCAAGAUUGGUGGUGAAAACAUAUGCUAAAAAAAAAAGUAUUGACUUCAAUGAGAUAUUUUCUCUGGUGGUUCGACUCACAACAGUCAGAGUAGUCUUAGUAAUGUGUGCUACAUUUGACCUACAUCUCGAGCAAUUAGAUAUGAAAACUACAUUUCUUUAUAGAGAUUUUGAAGAAGAAAUUUGUAUGCUCCAACCAGAAGGUUUUACUAAAAUAAGAAAGGAGAACUUGGUUUACAGAUUGAACAAAUCUCUAUACAGUCUCAAGCAAGCGUCACGUUGUUGGUAUAAGAGGUAUGAUUCCUUCAUCAUGAGCCUUAGAUACCACAGAUUCAGUUCAGACCAUUGUGCAUAUUAUAAGAGGUUUGAAGAUGAUGAUUUCAUCAUUUUACUAUUGUACAUACUACCAACAAAAAUCGAGUUCAAGAACUAGAGGCACAAGUGGCUAGGGAGUUUGAAAUGAAUGACUUAGGACCAUCAAACAAGAUUUUAAGGAUGUAAAUUCAUCGAAACAGAAAUAAUAGGAAGAUUUGGCUUUCUCAUAAUAACUAUUUCAAGAAAAUCUUACGACGCUUCAAUAUGCAAGAUUGUAAACCAAUUUCUACCUCACUUCCUGUUAAUUUCAAGUUAUCCUCAAAUAUGUAUCCUAGCAAUGAAGUAGAGAAGAAAGAGAUGUCUCGAGUAUCGUAUGCAUUAGCAGUGGGAAGUUUGAUGUUCGCUAUGAUUUGUACAAAACCAGACAUUGCAUAAGCAGUGGAAGCAGUCAGUCGAUACAUGGCGAAUCCUGCUGGAAAACAUUGGAAAACUGUGAAGACGAUUCUGAGAUACAUUAAAGGAACCUCUGAUGGUGCAUUAUGUUAUAAAGGAUCAGAAUUUACUGUUGGGGGCAACGCAGAUUCAGAUUUUACAAGAGGCCUUGAUAAGAGAAAAUUUACUACUGACUAUGUGUUUACACUUGUAGGAAGAGCUAUAAACUGGGUUUCAAAACUACAGACCGUUGUGGCUUUAUUUACAACAAAAGCAUAAUACACACAGCUACCUAAGCUUGGAAGGACUAUUUGGAUACAAAGGUUAUGGGUAGAGCUCGGGCACAAACAAGAGAAAAUUUAUGUGUUUUUGUAAUAGUUAGUGCUUUGCACAUUGCAAGAAAUCCAGUCUUUCAUUCUAGAACAAAUCACAUAGCAGUUUAGUACCACUUCGUUCGAGAAAUAGUGAAGACAGAAGUGUAGAUUUGCAAAAAAUUCAUAUCAAAGUGAGCCUAGCAAAUGUUUUAACAAAGUCGAUCAAUGCUGACAAGUUUAUCUACAGUAAAGUCUCUUGUGACCUAGCAGAGAUGUAAGCAACAUAACUAUAGCAAAGCAGGAAGGAUGGUGUGGAGAUUGAUUGAUUCCCAAUCUAAUCUCCAAGUAGGAGAAUGUCAAAACAUUUGGCUGCAGUAUCUAAAAGUUACAUCUAAAAGCUACAUCUAGAAGCAUUGAAGCAACAAAUGUUGAAGGAUUAGGUUCUGUCAAGGAAGAAAAAAAAGUAAGAGUUGAAGCUGCCAAAUUUGAACAAAGACAAAAAAAGAAAGAAGAAUAGCUGAAAUUUGGUAGCAACAUUUUUUUUUAAGAAAGAAAGAGAAGAGUUAAGAAAAGUCAAAGGUGGUUUUAAAAAAAUAUAAUAUUUUAAUAGCCAAUUUUUGGAUAUAAAAAAAGAGCUCUCCAUUUCGUUUUUUGGCAUUCAAUUUGUGAGAGAGAAAGCAGAGAGUUUGAGUGAUAGUGAGUGAGAGAUUGGGUACAUUGGGGUUUUGGAUAGUGAGACAAAAUAUUACAAUAUUUGUAAUCCUCAUAUCACUAGUAAAAUAUUUUUUUUCUGUCUUUGCCCGUGGAUGUAGGGUUAAAAGUCGAACCACGUAAUUUCUUGGUGUCCUCUUUCUACUUAUGCUUUAUUUUUCUUCUAAUUUUUCUCUUUUCUUCUUCAAAAAAACACUGCUGCCAAAUUCCAUUUUUCCUUCUUCUUUCUUUUUUAUCUUUUUUAUCUUUGUUCAAAUUUGACAACUUCAACUCUUCAUUUUCCUUCUUCCUUGGCGACACCUAACCCUUCAACAUUUGUUACCUCAAUGCUUCUAAAUGUAACUUCUAGAUGCUGCAGCUAAAUAUUUUGAUAAGUCUAAGUACUAGGUAUUUAACCUUUUUUUUUGCCCCCUCAAUUAACUGCUGAUCACUCACCUAAAUUUUUGCUCAGUAAUUUACAAAAGGUAAUGCUUGUCUAGAAAAUAUUUUAAAAUAGAAGUCCUGUGUGUAGAAUAUUUCAAAAUGUUGCAAGUUUCCUAAAACACAAGUACAUCAAUAUAUUAUUCUAUCAUAAGAGUUUUUAUGCACCCAUUAAACCAAUUAACACUAAAAAAUUAAUUGCUUUACAUGUGAGCUAGAUUAAUUUGAACUUCAGAUCUCUUCUUCCAUAAGAGAUUUUAUCCAUUGAAACCACCAAUCCAAACACCCACGCAAAUUAAUUAAAGAUAAAUUGAGAUAGCCCACAGGCUGCAGCAACAAAUUUCCUAGAUGUCUACUGAACAAAUGGAAUUCUACAAAGUGUUAAUUUCUAUUAUAAAAAUGGCAUUAAAUUAAACCAUAUACACCAAUUAUGAUGGAGAAGACAAUUAUAACAACACAAAUUUAAAAAACAUCAAAAAAUAAAUCAAUCUUCCCAAAUAUCAAUCUCAAUGGUCCGAGUACCAAUUUGCCCUCCAAUCACCAUCUCUUUAUCCAAUAAAACUAAAUAAUUAAAAUUUUAUACAGCCAUCAUCAUUUCAACACCAACCUAAACUCAAUCCUCAAACACCUAACUCUAAACUCAGCACAUGAAACAACAAAAUAGAAAUGAACAUGAAAAGAUUGAAUGAACAACAUCAGAGUUUUUUUUCCCCCUUGUUAAACCUAUCCAUAUUUGAUAUUCUUCCCUGUCAAAUUUGGUUUACAUUCAAAGCAACUAAAAAAUUCGUAAACAAACAGGUUAUUAAAAAAAAAAAAAUUGAUUGAAAACUUCAUUCAACUACAAUAGUACAUUAAGCAAAAAGUUCAUAUUUUUUUAUAAUUAAAAUAAAAUCUCAAAAUAUUUAAAUACUAAAAUUUUCAUGCUUUCUACCCAAAUUGUGUUGUUCGCUGCAUUUUCUUCCAUAUGAUGUUUAAAUAUAAAAAUCUUUUUUUUUUUAAUUACCAAGCAAAGAAUCAGAUUGCGUAAUUCACUGUACAUAACCAGUUCUUUCUCUUGCUCUAUUUUUUCGAGCAGUUACAAACAAAAAUUACCAAAAUCCUUCUUCAAUGCCCACCACCUAAAAAACAAAAGGAUGCUUAUGCAUCAUCAAGCUAUAAACUAUAUUUCUAUUUGCAUAUAAAAAACAGUUUCAGAAUAACCCAGCAUUUUCAAUUUAACUGGUGAGCAUGGAAUAUCCUAAGCCAGAUCAAAAUUCAAAACCACCAUGGAAAAUGUGUAUGGAUAAUGUUAAAUACCAUAUUAUUCAUUUUGAAUGACAAACAAAAUACAAACAAAAAUUAUUAAAAUUCCAUCCUUUAUCCUAUAAUUUUUAAUUCUUGUACUUCUUUUUCAGGUAUCAGAUUUCUCGGACACAGAACAUGAACAAGCAAAAACAAAUUUUGUGGUAUUUAAUAAAUGCAACUUCCAAAAUAUACCAUUACCAGACCAAAUUCUUUUUUUUUUGUAUAAAUUUUAAGCUUUUACAGACACAGUAUCAGAAACCAAAAAAUUAUUAAAUUUUGAAGGUAAAAAGGGAGAGACAAUUGAUAAAAGGCAAAAAUUGAAAAUAAAAUAAAAUAAAAGAGUAAAAAAAGUAACUGACUCUAUUCUAGCAAUAGUCAUCUUCUUCUUGUAAUAGUCAGCCAUGAAUAUUUAUUGGACUUAAUAAUUCAAACUAACAAUUCAGAUCUAAACAAAUUCAAUAGUUUAAAUCUCACCUAAUUCAACAAUUCAAUUCAAAUCAAACCCUAACCUAAAUCAGUCUAAAAAUCAAAUCAGACCCUAACACAAAUCAAUUUAAAAAGCAAACCAUACUAACUUGUUGCUUGAUGAUUGUUGAGGUGAAGAGAAGGCACGGUGAUGUUGAGCUUCAGUGGUCAGGUCUCAGGUACACCAUCUUAAAAUACUGACUUAGUAUACCCGAACCCACCUCUAAUUAUUUGGGUAAGUGACAUUUGGAGGAAAAAAAAAAAAUCUUAUUGAUUUCAUUGUUUGUCAACUUUGUGAAAAUGAUAUGAAACCACACCAAAUUUUCAAUUACAAAAGUUAUUUUUUUUCUUUGCUUAAUUUUUUUUAAGGAAAAACAUUGUUUUCAAGUAAGUCGAAUUUAGUAUUAUAAAUUUAUUUUCUAAACAAAUUGAGCUACAAAUGAGAUAGUUUGGCGGUGGAGAUAUUGUAGUUUCAAUAAUAGAAGAACAAAAUGAUUCGUCAGUUGCCUUUUGAUUGAAGUUACUGCUUUUGGCACUCUCAAGAACCAUUUGCAAAGGAUCCUUCUCAUAUGCUGCUUCUUCACUACCUUCAGUCUCAAAUUACGAACCUCCUUUUCUGAUCUCCACAUAUAUCUGUUGCUUUUUGUGGAAAGAUACUUACAACAAGUUAUGGCAUAAAUAAAUUGAUGAUGAGAGUAUUGCAAAAAAUAAAAAAUAAAAAAUAAAAAAAUAAUACUCUGUUUUUCAUCGGAGGAGUUGCCUUGUCCACUAAUAG
rnacentral:lncRNA from 1 species